rnacentral:rRNA from 1 species
GACGAACGCUGGCGGCGUGCCUAAUACAUGCAAGUAGAACGCUGAAGGAGGAGCUUGCUUCACUGGAUGAGUUGCGAACGGGUGAGUAACGCGUAGGUAACCUGCCUGGUAGCGGGGGAUAACUAUUGGAAACGAUAGCUAAUACCGCAUAAUAGUAGAUGUUGCAUGACAUUUGCUUAAAAGGUGCAAUUGCAUCACUACCAGAUGGACCUGCGUUGUAUUAGCUAGUUGGUGGGGUAACGGCUCACCAAGGCGACGAUACAUAGCCGACCUGAGAGGGUGAUCGGCCACACUGGGACUGAGACACGGCCCAGACUCCUACGGGAGGCAGCAGUAGGGAAUCUUCGGCAAUGGACGGAAGUCUGACCGAGCAACGCCGCGUGAGUGAAGAAGGGUUUCGGAUCGUAAAGCUCUGUUGUAAGAGAAGAACGAGUGUGAGAGUGGAAAGUUCACACUGUGACGGUAUCUUACCAGAAAGGGACGGCUAACUACGUG